GCUGGGGUAGCUCAACGGCAGAGCAGCUGACUUGUAAUCAGCAGGUUGUGGGUUCAAAUCCCAUCCCCAGCUCCA
rnacentral:tRNA from 1 species